AGCUUUGUGCAGUGGCAGUAUCAUAGCCAAUGAGGUUUAUCUGAGGUGCAAUUAUUGCUAACUGAAAGCUUUUCCCAAUACCCCGCCAUGACAACUUGCAAUACACUUGGCACUGGCAAUUUAUGACAAUCUCUACAGAGA
ensembl:snRNA U4 U4 spliceosomal RNA